CUUAAUAACCCUAUCCAACUAAUUUUUUGAGGUCGGGAAUUUGAUAUUUCAAAUGUACACAUCAUGACCUUUCAUUUGAUAUACAACAACCCUAUCUUAAAAGAAAUUUUGUUUUUGCACUCAAUAACCCCAUCCAACCCAUUUUUGGGAGACGUCAAUUUGAAAUUUGAAAUGUACGCUUUAUGUUCUUUCAUUUGAUAUGCGACAACCUUACCAUCUGAGAAAUUUGAAUGUUUGCACUAAAUGACCCCAUCUGUCCCUCUGGGAUGAAAAGGGGGUUUAAAAUUUUCAUUUUUAAAUAGAGUUUAUUAAGACCUUCAAUUUGAUAUAUCAGAUGACCCCAUUUGACAAAGUGCAAAUAAUG
rnacentral:lncRNA from 1 species